UCCUCAUGGACGCAUUCAGACGAAGAAGCACCAGUAGUUAAAGACGAGUUCCUACCCAGGAUCACUGAAAAUGAAGACCUCUUGGCAAGUAUCAACAUUAGUUGUAGUAAUACUGGCGGCCAUUAUACUUGAAGUAUACUGCAGACCUUCAGAUGAAACUAACGGCAAACUCAGGGAAAGAAGACAAGCAGUGGAAGACAGACAGUUCAUAGGAGGCCUUUCUACUCUUGGAGCUCUCAUACAACCCAUACUUUUCAUGAUCGGUAUGGCUAACUUCAUGGGCCGGAUACCCAUGUUUUUCAAUAGAGUGCGCGAUCGAUUCAGUUCCACAUUAUCAGGAACAGGAGCCCCAGCCGGUGCAGGAAGGAAAAAGAGAUCUGUCGGGGGUGCUUUCGACGAUGACACUGAUGAAAAAUCACUCCGAGCCCUAAGAAUGUUAGACGAAGCCGAAGAAAAAUACAAUAUGAGGAGCUGAGCUCUGCGUCCGAUAAAUCUGAAGAAACAUGGAAAAUAUUGUGUGGAGCCACUGGGGUCAUCAGGUGUAAAAUAUUUGUGAAGGUUUCUCAUUUUGACCUGCUUCAAAAGUAUCUGGAGACGGAAGCAGUUGUGACUUUGGAGAUGGUACUCACCAGUUAAAUUUAAAAAAACUCGUUGAUCGAGGCACGCCAUUUUAUUUUUAAAUUUUCUAUUUUAUUGUGUACAUUGUCUUGUAAAUAAAGCAUCCUCAAUCUUUCUAA